rnacentral:rRNA from 1 species
UACGUAGGGUGCGAGCGUUGUCCGGAUUUAUUGGGCGUAAAGAGCUCGUAGGCGGCCUGUUGCGUCCGCUGUGAAAUCCCGGGGCUCAACCCCGGGCCUGCAGUGGAUACGGGCUGGCUAGAGGUAGGUAGGGGAGAAUGGAAUUCCCGGUGUAGCGGUGAAAUGCGCAGAUAUCGGGAGGAACACCGGUGGCGAAGGCGGUUCUCUGGGCCUUACCUGACGCUGAGGAGCGAAAGCGUGGGGAGCGAACAGG